CCUACGGGGGGCAGCAGUGAGGAAUAUUGGUCAAUGGGCGUAAGCCUGAACCAGCCAAGUCGCGUGAGGGAUGAAGGUUCUAUGGAUCGUAAACCUCUUUUAUAAGGGAAUAAAGUGCGGGACGUGUCCCGUUUUGUAUGUACCUUAUGAAUAAGGUUCGGCUAACUACGUGCCAGCAGCCGCGGUAAUACGGAGGAUCCGAGCGUUAUCCGGAUUUAUUGGGUUUAAAGGGUGCGUAGGCGGCCUUUUAAGUCAGCGGUGAAAGUCUGUGGCUCAACCAUAGAAUUGCCGUUGAAACUGGGAGGCUUGAGUAUGUUUGAGGCAGGCGGAAUGCGUGGUGUAGCGGUGAAAUGCUUAGAUAUCACGCAGAACCCCGAUUGCGAAGGCAGCUUGCCAAGCCAUGACUGACGCUGAUGCACGAAAGCGUGGGGAUCAAACAGGAUUAGAUACCCCUGUAGUC
rnacentral:rRNA from 1 species